CAGGUACUUGAGAGGCUGAGGUGGGAGGAUUGCUUGAGCCCGGGAAGUUGAGGCUUCGAUGAACCAUGAUUGCACCACUGCCCUUGGGUCUGGUUGAUACAGUAAGACCCAUGAUUGCACCACUGCCCUUGGGUCUGGAUGAUACAGUAAGACCCUGUGUCAUUUUUUUUUUUUAAGAUAUUAAAAAAAAAAACAACUUUUUUUUUUUUGAGAUAGAGUCUCACUUUAUUGCCCAGGCUGUAGUGUAAUGGCACGUUUUUGGCUCACUGCAACCUCUGCCACCUGGGUUCAAGUGAUUCUCCUGCCUCAGCCUCCCAAGUAGCUAGGACUACAGGCGUGUGCCACCACGUUCAGCUAAUUUUUGUGUUUUUAGUACAGACGGGAUCUCAUCGUGUUGGCCAGGCUGGUCUCGAACUCCUGACCUCAGGUGAUCCACCCACCUUGGCCUCUCAAAAUGCUGGGAUUACAGGCAUGAACCACUGUGCCCAGCCAAAAAAGCUUUUUGAAAAUAUAGUUUAAACAUUUUCGAAGAAAAUUUUAGACUUACAGAAAAGUUGCAAAAAUGGUAUAGAGAAUUCCUGUAUAUUCUUCACCCAACUUCCCUUAAUGUUAACAUCUUAUAACCAAAGUACAAUUACCAAAACUAAGAAACUUUUUUUUUCCACCAUAAAGUUAUUACUUUUCUCUUUGUAAAUAAUAUUUUUUUGGGGAGAGAUACUUUGAGACUGUACAAGUAUCCUGCUUCUCCUUAAACUUUUGCCCAUCAAUUUUAGCGUCCAUCAGUGGAUACUGCUUGUAGUUAUUAUUACUGUGAUAUUCUAAUCAUGAUUUUCUAUUUCCUUAUUCCUUACAUUUUACAACUGGAAUUAUUCUGUAAAGUAAAGUUGUACUUUCUCCUCAAUUUAUUUAUAUGGUAUGGACUCAAAGAUUUUUAUUUAACCAUUGGGUUUUAAUCUAGUACUAUCAUAAUAUAGUACUAUGCUUAAUCCAGUACUAUUCUUAUUUAUUUUGUUGCUCAAAUUGUUUCAGCCUUGGCCAUAGGGGGCUCUUUCAGUUUGGCUCUCAUGCCCUUUCAGCAAGAUUCCCAUCUUUUUUUUUGUGGGGGGGCACUUCGUUACUUUUUAGCAUAAUUUCUGUCUUACCUCUCCUAGCUCUGGAAUCCACUAUUUUUUCAAGGAGCCACAAUUUCUUUUGUUGGAGAAUAGUAUUUAGAAAACAAGGUCUACAACUUGUAUUUUGGAGUAAAAAAACAUGGAUAUUACUAACAGCUAAGUAUACAGAUAUUUUUUCGUUCCACAGGUUGAGAUACGUUACUUAAGAUCUCAAUACCCUUUUCCAAAGACUUCUGGGAUGACUUGGAAGUGAUGGUUGGAUGAAUCCCUUUCUGAAGAAGCUCGGCCCAGGAACCCAUGAGAGAGCCAGCAAUAGUGCCUACCAGCAAUAGUGGUACCAUCUCCUGCUUCUGUAUCUUAGCUCCCCCAGCAUUCUGCUGCUGGAUGUGACACUUGUAUUUGUUUCAGAAUGGUGGCACCAUCAUUUGUAGUGGUCACAUUGCCUUUUCCACCUUGAAUUUUUUUUCCCAUUCCUUUUGGUCCAAGGCUGGUUUUAAUAGCAUCAGCAGCAGUUUUGGCUGUGAUGUUGCUGAAUCAGAUCUCAGCCUGCUUGUCAUGUCCCUGACAGGCACCCUUCACACACAGCUGGAAGCCCUGGUGGGUGCCCUGCCCCACGGUCCAAAUGACGUCUUUACUUGGGCAUGUUAACUAAAACUUUCUCCUUAUGUGUUACAUCUUGUUUUGUUUUUUGUUGCUUGUUUUGCUGUCAGGUUCUAAAGAUGUGCUCCUUUAGGGUUAGGCAAAGGCUCCAGGAUGGCUAUGGAAUUCCACUAGCGAGCUAGGGGGCCACAGGAAUCUACCAGCUGGGGGACUUUGGCCAAGUUACUUUAAACCAUAGUUCUCAAAGUGUGAUCGCCAGACCAGCAUCAUCAGCCACACCUGGGAACCUAUUACAAAUACAAAUUCUUGGGCCCUGUUGGAGACCUAUUGAAUAAGAAACUGGAAGUGGGGCUUAGCCAUUUACGUUGAACAAACCCUCAAGAUGAUACUGAUGAAUACUUAAGUUUGAGAAAUACUGUGCUAAACCAUAUUUCUUAACCUUGGCUGCACAGUAGAGCCACCUAAGGAGCUUUUCUCUAUCCACCCCUAUUCUGAUUGGUCUGGAAGGGGACCAGUGACAGGAAUCUUGAGUCUAAUGCAUAACCAGAGUUGAGAACCACAGCUCUAAACUUGUUUGUGUAUAAAAUGGGGGAAAAUAAUACUUACCUCUUAGGGCUGUUGUAGGAAUUAAGUGAUGUAAUUUACAGUAAGAAUGAAGCAGGCUGGUGGCCCACGCUUGUAAUCCCAGUGCUUUGGGAGGCCGAGGCAGGUGGAUCACUUGAGGUCAGGAGUUAGAGACCAGCCUGGCCAACAUGGCAAAACCCCAUCUCUACUAAAAACACACAAAAAAAUUAGCCGGGCGUGGUGGUGGGCGCCUGUAGUCCCAGCUACUCCGGAGCCUGAGGCAGGAGAAUAGCGUGAACCUGGAAGGCAGAGCUUGCAGUGAGCCGAGAUUGCACCACUGCACUCCAGCCUGGGAGACAGAGUGAGACUCUGUCUCAAACAAACAAACAAACAAACAAACACCAGAAAACUAGCUGGGUGUGAUAGCGCACGCCUGUAGUCCCAGCUACUUGGGAGGCUGAGACAGGAAAAUCUCUUGAACCUGGGAGGUGGUUGUUGCAGUGAGCCAAGAUUGUGCCACUGCACUCCAGCCUCGGCAACAGAGCAAGACACUGUCUCAAAAAAAAAAAAAAAAAAAAAAAAAAAGUGAAGCAGUGUCUAGCAAAUGGUGAAGCACUUGACAAAUGAUAGUUACGGGUAUAAUAAUACUCAGAGAGAUUAGAGCUACAUCACGAGGUCAUGAAAAGACAGUGGGACUUUGAGGGCUCAGUGUUGGUUUAUUCAGGUUAUGACGCUGAGGUUGCGAGGCCAUGCACUACAGCUAUCACUAAGCAGAGUUUUUAUGGUUGCUUGUGGGUCUUUGUUCAUGCCAUUUGCUUCAACCCUUUCUCUCUGCUUGUGAAAAUCCUACAUUAAGAGUGUGAUGAAAGGUGCAGGGUUUGUCACCUACCAGGGAUGGAGAAUAGAAAUAAAAGAAGGUACAUGCUCUAGAGUCAGCAGUUUGAAUUUAAAACUUUAGACAUUUAUAGCUGGGUGAUCUUGGUCAUUGGUCUCCUUAUGUGCAAAAUGGGGAUACUUAUCAUAUGGGGGGGGUCAAAUAAGAUAUAGCCUACAAAGCACAAUGUAUUCAACACUCCAGAAAAGCUGGCCUUAUCUGCAUUUAUUGCUUUCCUGCUUGGGAAGUCAUUCCUGAUGAUGUGAACAUGGACCUCUUUUAUCUCUAACCCUCUUAUUAAAUAUUAACUUGUUUGGUGCUUAACCCACUGGCUAUUUCUCACAGAUAUUCUCAGACUGGAGCUCUUUUUAGAUUAAUCUGUAUCCUUAGACUUUCCAUUUCUGUUUAGAAUAGUUUUUAUUCUAAACUCAACGGGCCAAUUGUUUGUGGCUCUAUCGGGAAAAUGAUUCUGCACUGAGCACCAUUUAGAUUGUCUUACUGAGACAAGGCUAGGUGGAGCUCAGUCUUCUGCGACAGGGACACAGAAAGUUCUCCAUAAAUGAAUCCAUCCUUUCAGAAAACACAUAUUUCCUUAAGUAGAAUGAAAAAGGUCUUAGAAUCUACAUUGGUUUAACUCUAGUUUCUACUUUAAUGUGAACCUGUAAUAUUGCCACAUCUCCAAUUGUUACAAAAUUGCAUCUCGCUAGUUUUACAAUGCUUCUCUCCAUUUUGCUGCUUUUAUGGCAUUUAAAAAACAUUUCACUGUUUUAAGUUCAGCAUAAAUGUUUUACUGUUUUCCCAGUUAUCUUAAUAUCCAGGGCCGGACAGUCUCUCUGUUUUAUCUGUCUCCUUGAAUGUAAUACUGUUUGUUUUGCUGAUUCUCUCUCUCUCUUUUUUUUUCUUCUAAGAAAUGCUUUCUUCUGAACUUUUCUUGAGUACUUAAGGAAAGCCACGAAGACAGGGUUGGCAGGAUAACAGAUGUUUCCCCCUAUUUAUUGCUCCUGAAGUUUGUUCCCUGCUUUAAAUCUCUAAAAUUAGGCACACAGGAUCUUUGGGAGAAAUGUGUGAGUAAAGAGAGACGGGCUGAAGCAGGCAGAAUUUCAAAUUUUGAUUUAUUCUUUCUUAGAAGAUGAUUUAUAAAUACAAACAUUAUGGUUAUAUAUGUUUAAAUAUAUGAUGCCUUAUGUUUAUCUUGAAACACACACAUACAUGGUGCUUAAAAAAAUAAACUUCUGGAGCCCAUAAUUACAUAAAUAAUAAGAUGUUACCUGUCAUCUACCUCCUCUUCCUGAACCUAUCAUGCUGCUUGUAAAUGUGGAGAACUUUGUAUUUUUAGGAGAUAUGUGUCAACGCUGCCACAGAAAAUUGUGCUAGUAAGACACAGCAGUACUUACUAGUCACACAAUGUGCUAUAUAUAAAAGUUUUUAACAUUUUAUAAUUUACAGAGUCCUUUUCACAGAUAUCUUAUUUCAUUAAUCCAGUGAAGUAUUAUGAUUUUAUAGAGAAGGAGAAGGUAACUGACGUAAGGUCACAUAACCAGUAAGUACACUAUAUCACAAACCUGUGAUUUUUGAAUCUAAAACCCAGUCUUUUUACUAUGUUAUGCUGAAAUCGAGAGCAAAAUGGUCUAUGCACAGUGAUCCCCACACGUUAGAAAGCACCAAUAGUUAGGUUUUGACCAGAGAAAUCCAAUUAAACAAACUGGCUAGUCUAAACUUGGAGUUAAAGAUUUUUUUCUGAUUACACUUAGUCAACAUCUUUUUUUUUUUUUUUUGAGAUGGAGUCUUGCUCCGUUGCCCAGGCUGGAGUGCAGUGGCGCGAUAUCAGCUCACUGCAAGCUCCACCUCCCGGGUUCAUGCCAUUCUCCUGCCUCAGUCUCCCGAGUAGCUGGGACUACAGGCACCCGCCACCACGCCCGGCUAAUUUUUUGUAUUUUUAGUAGACAUGGGGUUUCACCGUGGUCUUGAUCUACUGACCUCGUGAUCCGCCUGCCUCGGCCUCCCAAAGUGCUGGGAUUACAGGCGUGAGCCACUGCGCCUGGCCUUAGUCAUCCUCUUAACCAUUGGUCACUGUUGUCCUGAAAUUUGUUGACUUCCCUGGUGUCAAGGGUUAACUUUUCCUUAUCUUCUAUUAAUAUGAUCCAGCUGGUCCAUUGUACUUCUGUACAGGCUGUUUUGAGUCACACAGCUUGCUCUAUCAAUUGA
ensembl:lncRNA